GGUGGCACUCCAUAGUCAAAAUUACACAACAUACAAUUGGAUUCUUGCAGCUUUCCCCAAGUCAGCAGUUUGUGGUGUGUAAGAAGAGCCUCGUGCAUAGCUAGCCACCACCACCACCACUAUUCUCUUAUUUCUCUUCCUGGGACGUGUAGUCUUCUCUUCAAGGACAUCUUAAUCUCGACCACCACCACUCACCAUCAUUGUGAGCACUUCUCUUCACUUCUUAUCUGAUUUUAAAAACCUAAUUUUGAUUUUGAUUUUGAAAAACCUAAUUUUGAUUUUGAAAACCUAAUUUUGAUUUUGAUUUUGAAAUUGGGGGUUUUAAAAACCUAAUUUUGAUUUUGAUUUUGAAAUUGGGGGUUUUUAACAAACCCUAAUUUUGAUUUUGAUUUUGAAAUUAGGGGUUUUUACCCACCCUAAUUUUAAUUUUGAUUUCGAAAUUAGGGGUUUUAAAACCCUAAUUUUAAUUUUGAUUUCAAAUUGGUGGUUUUAAAAAACACUAAUUUUAAUUUUGCUUUGAAAUUUUGAAAUUAUGGUUUUUAAUUGGUAGAUAUCAACCAGAUUCAUUCAUAGAGGACAGAACGUGACAUUUUACAUUACCAUGGACCCAAUGUUGUAUUAAUGAAAAAGAAUUGUUGUUGACUUGUUUUGGCAUGUGUUACAUUAAUACAACAACAAGUCAACAACAACAAUUUUUUUUUGUUUUUUUAAGUUUUGACACGGCGCAAUAACAGAAAACCAAAGUCCUGUGGGUACGUCCGUGAUCUAUCUGCUUGACUUAAUAAGGCUUUAUAUUGAACCGUAUUCUAUCUUCUAUAUUAUAAUCUAUAAAGGGUACAUAAAAUAGAUAAGUUUGGGUUAUAAGUAGUGUUCCAGAUUCUCUCGAGUUCGAAGUUGAGAUUAGAUCUGCGGUUGUGAUUGGAUUGGAGACAAACUCAUUUAUUAAUGAGUUAAUUAGCGACUGCCCCUAGAUUUAAAAGCCAAAGUUGUGAAUGCCCCCAGAUUUUUUUUUUUUUGUUUAGUGAUGCCCCAUAGAUUUGCUUCCUUAUUCUUUUAAUACCAAAACUACCCUUUCAUUUUGUUUAGCCUUUACCCCAAACUCCGUAAAACCAUUUUAACUACCAUGUAUGAAAGAAAUUGGUGGUUUUUGUUUCGAACAAUAGAUCUAGAUAAAAACAAUCACACACAUCUCGAGGUUUAUCCUACGAUAAUAAAACAAAACAACCAAUAACAUGAUGCCACAUGUAAAGUGCUUCACCAAAUUAAACCCACAAAUCUCUACUAAUUGAACAUCUUCUUCACCCCCAUUUCAAUAGCAAAACCCAAAGUAUCUUCACCCCUAUUUUCAAAGUCUAUCUUCUCACCUUGACCCCCAUCAUCAGUUUUAUAGAGUUAGGGGCAAAUGCUAAACAAAAUGGAGGGGUAGUUUUGGUAUUAAAAGAAAAAUGAAGCAAAUCUAGGAGGCAUCACUAAACAAAAAAAAAUCUGGGGGCAUUCACAAUUUUGGCUUUCAAAUCUGGGGACAAUCGCUAUUUAACUCUUUAUUAAUCGUUGGAUUAGAUUGGGUCCAAACUUAAGUUGUGUUGGAUGGUUGGGAUCACAUUUAGAUUGAAUAGUUUUCUUAAACCUUAAUUGUCAAUUUUCUUCCUCUUCCUCUUCUUUGUUUCCUCAUCAAGGUACUGCGAUUCUAUCAUCAUCUCAAUCAUAAUCAUCAUUGUCUUAAUCAUAAUCGAUCAGAAAAAAAAUUCAACAAAAUUCUCAAUCAUAAGCAUCAUCGUCUCAAUUAAUCAGAAAAAAAUUCAACAGAAAUUCUCAAUCAUAAUCAUAAUCUCAGGUACUCUAGUCUUCAAUAGUAUCAUCAUCAUCUCAAUAAUCAUAAUCAUCAUCGUUUCAAUCAUAAUCAGAAAAAAAAUCACUGCACUUAUACAGCUUCAAGUAAACUUAAUUUUUGUAUUGUUUGCCAAUCUCUUUCUUCAAAGUAGGGGUGGCAGAUGUUGACACGACCUGUAAACCCAACACGAACACGACCCGCAAAUAACUUACCCGAACACGACACGCUACCUGGUUCGUGUUAUAUAUGGAUUAACCCGAAAACCCCGCUACAUAAAUGGGUCGUGUUCGGAUUUAACACGUACACCCGAUCUGACACGAUAACAACCCAUUUUCACAGCCGUACUCAUUGAUCUGAAGAAGAUUCACAACUGAAAAUAAACUGAUUGGUGGGAAGAUUUGUGGACUAUGGUCUAUGAAGUGAUGAAAUUUUAUUAAUUAAAGAUGGAAAGAUUUCCAUCAGGGUUUCUGACCAGAAGAACUUCUAAUACAUUAGAUCUUCAACUACAUCUUCUUCAAAACCCAUAUUUGGGUACCUUUACUUCAUCUUCCUUCACUAAAUUCGAAAAAAUAACACAGAUUCACAACAAAAUCAUCAAUCUUUUGAAAAAAAUUCAACAAACCCAAUUUUUUUCACAACUUCCAAGUCUUAAUCAAUCAAUUCCACUUCUUUAACAACAUACCCAUCAUCGAAAUCUAAUAUCUUCAUCUUCUUUCUUUGAUAUUUUAUACAAAAUCAUAAACCCCAUCAUUAUUUUAUUACUCUGUUCUUCUAUUGAAUAUAAGGUUUUUUGGAAGAAUUUGAUAAUUGGGUUGAAGAGCUGAGAGAUGAAUAGGAAGACAAAGAAGAAGAAAGAAAGAUUCGAACCAAAUUAACGUGUCGGGCGUGUCACCCACUAAACAAACAAGGUCGUGUUCGGGUUGACCUGUUUAGUAACUGGGUCUCUUUCGGGUUAAUCUGUUUUGACACACAACCCAGUACUGACCCGACACGACCCAUUUGCCACCCCUACUUCAAAGUAAGUGGUGAAGUGGUCUUCAAGGGAUUGCUUGCUAAUUGACUGCAUCCACUCGAUCCUAAGCGGGUAAUAUUUUUAUCUUGCUUUAAGGAAUUAUAAUUAAGCUAUUUUUAUCUUACGUGAUUUUUUUUUCUCAUUCGAAUGAAGAAACUCCAUAUCAAAAUGGACUACCACGAUCACAUAAUUAUUCUAGUGAUUUGCGUAAAGAUGCCCAUACCCCCUUCUGUAAACCUAAUACCGUCUUUUUGUUAGAUCAUUAUAAAUUGAAUUUCCUAUAGAAAUUUUUUUGUAAGAUAUUUGAAUUGGAUGGACAUUGCUUCCAUUAGUAUGUGUAAUAUAGUCCUUCUAACAACUUUCCAAUGUACUGUCUUCUUCCAUCUUCACUAUCCCCCCCAUCAGCUUUCCUUUAACAAAACCUAAAACGGAACCUUUUUGAUAUAUCAUCCCGGUACGUUGAACAUAAAUGUAUCACUCAACAAACUGAAAUUGAUGAGAUAAUAAGUUUGAAUUGUUAUUCGAUCCUAUCAUGGUCAUCUUAGUGGUGUACAUUGCUUGGCUCUUCACCCGACUUUAGAUAAUGUAAUGUUUACAGGUGGAGGUGAUUCGGUCUGUCGUGUAUGGGAUGUUCAUACAAAGACCCAAAUUCAUGUUGUUUCUCAUUCCAAUACAGUUUUAUAUCUUCUUGCAAGACCUGUAGAUCCACAGAUUUUGUAACAGGUUCCCAAGACUCAACCAUAAAGUUUUUGGACCUUAGUAUGGGAAAACAAUGGAGACUUUCACUCACCAUAAGAAAUAUGUUCGACCAAUGGUACAACAUCCCAGUGAGCAACAUUGCUUUGCAUUUACAUCCCCUGAUAAUGUCAAGAAGUUUAGCAAUAGUAUAGUUUUCACCUACGGGAGGGCACCUCUUCUUUAUUGAUCUGAGCCGUGAUUCUCUGUCAUCUUAGGUGAUACACUGUAGUAGUGUAGUUCCGUACAAGCAAUAGUUCCAACCAAGUUAAACAUGAAAAUUGGAAAGUAAUGAUAACAAUGACUUGAUAGUUGAGAGUCAGGUUUGAUAAUGGCAGUCAGAAUUCUGAGUUUCUUUGACCUCCCAUAAUGGCAGUCGGAACAAUCUAAUUGCAAGUUUGUUUUACAUCUUGCAGACAACUAGAAUAAAUAUUUUCUAGAAUAAUUGGUGUAUCAUAACAGUUUAUGUAUAAGUUCUAGAAAAAACUACAGUGUAUCACCUUUUAAUGUAAAUAAAAUUUAUAGGAUCGUGAAAUUUUUUUCUAGGAUCAUAAUUUUUUUCUAGAACUUUUACGAUCGACAUUGAAGUUUUUGUAUCACAACAGUUACUAAAAAUAAGAAAAAAACACACUAUAUAUUUUGUGUUAUCAUUAUACACUUAACAUGUUUAUUUAUUUACAUUAAGAGAGUAAGCUCCUUUUUUUUAAAGUUAUAAGCUAAAUUAAUCUAUAAAUUUGGUCUGACAGGUACUGAUAUUAUUACCAGUGGCAAGCAUUGCAUUUCGAGUUAUUAAGAGGCUUAUACAGUUAACACCUUUGUCACACAAAGUAAGAUUUUUCUAUUUCCUUUUCUUUUGUAUAUUUUUUCUAUUAUAUAGUCGCAAUUUAUUUCAUGCUUUAGCUAAGAUUUGAACCACUAUAGUAAAAUAUUCAAAUUAGAGUUGAAGUUCCUAAUGUUUGUGUUGAGGUACACUUCACAAUCUGGAUGGUAGUCUACAAUUUAGUUUAUAAUCUUCCGCAAUUCCAUACUGAACAGAUAACAUGUUGUUUUUCCAUAAGUUGCUCAUUUUGUGAAUUGUCUACCAGAUGUUCAUUCUACUGUUAUGUGAUAUUUAUGGCAACAUUCGUUUUAAACUAACCUGGAUAGCAAUGCUAAAAUAAUGAAAUAUUGUAUAGUAAUGUUACUAUCUAACUCAUGAUAGACGAAGAAACAUUGAGGUCUUGAUGGAAUGAGCCUUUCACAGAUAAGAAGAUCGUAUACAUUGAUUACGAGCCUCAAAUUAAUCUAUUGUUGCUUUCUACUUUGUACCAGGUGGCAUAUCUUGACAUGACCAACAUACUUGACCUUGCAAAGCUCUGCAACUCAGUUCAAUAUUUUACUGGUAUAUACUCAAAUCUUCUUGGAACACCUACUAGGCAGCCGCAGGGUGUAAGUGUAAUAGUGUUUUUAGUAUUGUUUUUGAAAUGAUAUCCUAUUACGGAGGAGAACUUCAUUAUACAACCAAAAAUGAUUAUGAUAUUAGCAUUAGAACAACUGCUAGCCUUCAUAACCUUGGGUAUUUAGCACAUUGUAAUGAAUGAGCUGAUAUUCGGUUUCUUAGCCAAGUGUAAAACAAACUUCAAAAUGUUAAAAUGACUGCAAUGGACCAAUAUAUACACUCAAUUAGCUAAUACCUUCUAGAUACCUUUGGUUUAAGGCUUCUCCUUUUUAUCUGGGGGUCAUUGAAUACGUUCCAUUACUCUGGAAAUUGAGAAACAAUCUUCUAAUAAAUGUCCAUAUAAGUACGCUGACAUUUUACUGCUUGAGUAUGCAUUUUGUAUGUUCCAGAUUUCUAUAUUGAAUUAGUUUUUUAUGUUCUUUAUGUUGUUUUUAUUGAUAUUGUACCUUAAGAAGCUCUUACUUUGCAAGUUAGGAUAAAAAUGAAGAAUUAAUACUCAACUGGAUAUCAUUCAUUUGUUCUCUCUUUUCAGAGGUUGCUAAUCUGCAUGAUAUUUCCUUAUAUAUAAUAAUCUCUUUCAGAUACUUCUCGAGCUUGAUCAUCUAAACGAUUCCUCCAAACCUUAGGUCAAGAUUAAAGGAACAAAUAGAGAAGUAACAUCUGCUGCCAGUUCAACACUUGGCCUAGAUGGUACAUAUACUACACAGGUGAUUUAUCUCACUAUUAUACUAUUGGUCGGUUUGAUUCUAUGUGAUGUACAUGAUUUCCAUUUCCUUUGAUAUAAUUGCUUGAUUUCCCACACCUACAGAGCUACUUUCAAAUCAUUCUUGAAAGUUUGGCAACAUCUGAAAGAAGCUCAACAGAAUUCACUGUCAGCAAGCUGCACAAUUGUAGAAGCUGAAGUUCUCUUUGUAGCACAACUCUUCAGGUCAACCCUUCACAAUGUAUAUGGUACUUUACAAUUUAGUUUACAAUCUUUCCGUAAUUCGAUUCUUCAAUUAUAUGGCAGUUGGCACUAAUAAAAUUCUGCCCAAAGAAUACUUAAUAGAUAACAUGUUGCUUUCAUUGUUGUAUGGGGGGUUUGCUUUAUCUGCUUUCAGUUCAGUUUAUCCUCUCAUUAACCAAUGAACUCUCUUCUGACUGGAGUAAUAGCUUUGUUUGCUAUGAAAGGUUUAUAUUAAACAAUCAAUAGGAUUUCGGCCAUGUAAAAGCCAACAAUAUCAUGGUGAACUCAUGUUCUUAUUUAACGAGAACAAGUCCUUGAUGUAUAGGAAGAGCGUGAAAAAAAUACAAUAUCUCAGAAUUUAUUUGUCAGUAAAUGGGCAGAAUAGUAUUCCCAGUCUAAGAAAAGAACAAAACUUUAAACGUCAUAAUUUGCAUCUUCGUUAUCUCUUUGAACUCUAAAGUUGUCAUACUAAUUUUCUAAACUCGUGUGCGAAAUGAAUGAUAUAUACCUAUGAAUAGUUUUAGGCAAGAUAGAACUUUCCAUAUACACCAUUGACAUAAACUCCGUGCGACAAAUGAGGCAGAUGACUUCAGGUUCCAAAGAGAAAGUUAUAGAUGGUUUCUCCAAUAUACUUAGAUAAUAAUGAAAUUGAGGUAACGACAUGGACUUCAUAUACACAAAACUAUAUUACAAGUGAGUGGAAUACAGUAUAUCAGAGUAACUUUAGAUAUUAGUAUUUAUGUUUUGUUCACUACAGAUUUGCUUGGAUGUUUUAUAGUUAUUAUUAAGAGUCAAAUGAAC
rnacentral:lncRNA from 1 species